rnacentral:rRNA from 1 species
GACGAACGCUGGCGGCGUGCUUAACACAUGCAAGUCGAACGGAAAGGCCCUGCUUUUGUGGGGUGCUCGAGUGGCGAACGGGUGAGUAACACGUGAGUAACCUGCCCUUGACUUUGGGAUAACUUCAGGAAACUGGGGCUAAUACCGGAUAGGAGCUCCUGCUGCAUGGUGGGGGUUGGAAAGUUUCGGCGGUGGGGGAUGGACUCGCGGCUUAUCAGCUUGUUGGUGGGGUAGUGGCUUACCAAGGCUUUGACGGGUAGCCGGCCUGAGAGGGUUACCGGCCACAUUGGGACUGAGAUACGGCCCAGACUCCUACGGGAGGCAGCAGUGGGGAAUAUUGCACAAUGGGCGGAAGCCUGAUGCAGCAACGCCGCGUGCGGGAUGACGGCCUUCGGGUUGUAAACCGCUUUCGCAUGUGACGAAGCGUGAGUGACGGUAAUGGGUAAAGAAGCACCGGCUAACUACGUG